GCGGCGCGCCUAACACAUGCAAGUCGAACGAGAAAGUGGAGCAAUCCAUGAGUAAAGUGGCGUACGGGUGAGUAACACGUGGAUAAUCUGCCCUUUAGUGGGGAAUACCGUUGGGAAACCGACGACAAUACCGCAUAAGCUCGAGAGAGGAAAGCGGUUCUAUGAAAGUAGAGCCGCGCUGAAGGAGGAGUCCGCGGCCGAUUAGCUAGUUGGUAGGGUAAUGGCCUACCAAGGCUGUGAUCGGUAGCCGGCCUGAGAGGGCACACGGCCACACUGGCACUGAAACACGGGCCAGACUCCUACGGGAGGCAGCAGUGGGGAAUCUUGCACAAUGGGGGAAACCCUGAUGCAGCGACGCCGCGUGAGCGAUGAAGCCCUNCGGGGUGUAAAGCUCUUUCGGCAGGGAAGAUUAUGACGGUACCUGCAGAAGC
rnacentral:rRNA from 1 species